AGUGAAUAAUUCAACGGCCGCGGUACCCUAACCGUGCAAAGGUAGCAUAAUCACUUGUCUAUUAAUUGUAGACCAGCAUGAACGGCAAAAUGAAGGCCUGACUGUCUCUUAUAGUAAAUCAAUUAAACUGAUCUUCUAGUAAAAAAGCUAGAAUAACCACAUAAGACCAGAAGACCCUGUGAAGCUUAAACUAUACUAUUAAAUCUUAUAAUAGAUACUUUUGGUUGGGGCGACCUUGGAAAAAAAAAGAACUUCCAAACAAUGACUAUAAACCACACACCGGCCUACAAGCCUACACCGACCCAGCAAGACUGAUAACCGAACCAAGUUACUCCAGGGAUAACAGCGCCAUCUUCUUCAAGAGUCCAUAUCAAAAAGAAGGUUUACGACCUCGAUGUUGGAUCAGGACAUCCUAA
rnacentral:rRNA from 1 species